rnacentral:rRNA from 1 species
GAUGAACGCUGGCGGCGUGCUUAACACAUGCAAGUCGAACGAAGCAUUUAGGACAGAUUACUUCGGUUUGAAGUUCUUUAUGACUGAGUGGCGGACGGGUGAGUAACGCGUGGGUAACCUGCCUUGUACUGGGGGAUAGCAGCUGGAAACGGCUGGUAAUACCGCAUAAGCGCACAAUGUUUCAUGACAUGGUGUGAAAAACUCCGGUGGUAUAAGAUGGACCCGCGUCUGAUUAGCUAGUUGGUGGGAUAACAGCCCACCAAGGCGACGAUCAGUAGCCGACCUGAGAGGGUGACCGGCCACAUUGGGACUGAGACACGGCCCAGACUCCUACGGGAGGCAGCAGUGGGGAAUAUUGCACAAUGGAGGAAACUCUGAUGCAGCGACGCCGCGUGAGUGAAGAAGUAAUUCGUUAUGUAAAGCUCUAUCAGCAGGGAAGAUAGUGACGGUACCUGACUAAGAAGCUCCGGCUAAAUACGUG